rnacentral:rRNA from 1 species
GACAGAGGCCUCAAGCGUUAGGCGGAAUCACUGGGCUUAAAGCGUGCGUAGGCGGACUUCUAAGUGCCUUGUGAAAUCCCACGGCUCAACCGUGGAACUGCUGGGCAUACUGGGAGUCUUGGGCCAUUCAGGGGCAACUGGAACAUGCGGUGGAGCGGUGAAAUGCGUAGAUAUCGCUUGGAACGCCGAAGGUGAAAACAGGUUGCUGGGGAUGUGCCGACGCUGAGACACGAAAGCCAGGGGAGCAAACGGG